CCUUCGUUGAGAAAAUGGACUGAAACGACAGCAAAUGAAAAGGCUUCAAUCUUUGAAGAAAAGAAGCUAGCUUCAAUGUCCAACAAUGACAAUGAUGAAUGUAUGACAAGACAUGUCAGUUACAGAGGCUUUGCACCUACAAAUUGAAAUUCAAAAGCAGCUCCAUGAACAAUUCAAGGUGCAGACAUGUAGACCUGUGCCCAAGAAAUUCAAGGGAGAAUGCGUUUCUACAAAGUAGAAAUUGCAAGAGUUUGCUGGUUUAGUGUUGUUG